UACGUAGGGUGCGAGCGUUGUCCGGAAUUAUUGGGCGUAAAGAGCUCGUAGGCGGUUUGUCGCGUCUGCCGUGAAAGUCCGGGGCUCAACUCCGGAUCUGCGGUGGGUACGGGCAGACUAGAGUGAUGUAGGGAGACUGGAAUUCCUGGUGUAGCGGUGAAAUGCGCAGAUAUCAGGAGGAACACCGAUGGCGAAGGCAGGUCUCUGGGCAUUAACUGACGCUGAGGAGCGAAAGCAUGGGGAGCGAACAGG
rnacentral:rRNA from 1 species